rnacentral:rRNA from 1 species
CCUACGGGAGGCAGCAGUGGGGAAUAUUGCACAAUGGGGGAAACCCUGAUGCAGCGACGCCGCGUGAGUGAAGAAGUAUUUCGGUACGUAAAGCUCUAUCAGCAGGGAAGAAAAUAAGUCCUUUUGACUUUGGACGGUACCUGACCAAGAAGCCCCGCCCAACUACGUGCCAGCAGCCGCGGUAGUACGUAGGGGGCAAGCGUUAUCCGGCGUUACUGGGUGUAAAGGGAGCGUAGACGGCAGCGCAAGUCUGGAGUGAAAUGCCGGGGCCCAACCCCGGGACUGCUUUGGAAACUGUGCGGCUGGAGUGCAGGAGAGGUAAGCGGAAUUCCUAGUGUAGCGGUGAAAUGCGUAGAUAUUAGGAGGAACACCAGUGGCGAAGGCGGCUUACUGGACUGUAACUGACGUUGAGGCUCGAAAGCGUGGGGAGCAAACAGGAUUAGAUACCCCUGUAGUC